UUUUUUUCUGUCUUACUUAUGAUAUUUCUUCUGUUUUCUGGGGGUUUUGGUAAAUAUUCAUUAAUUAAUUUGCUAGCGUGAGGUAUAUCUUUGGAUGUAGAUGGCGUAGAUAAAUCAAAGUUUUUUGUAGGAGUCAUUGUGAUUUUUACUGUGGUCACAUCAUCAUUAUUGCUUAAAUUUAUAUUCGUUGAAGGAGAAUUAUUAAUUGGAUAUUGGAUAUUGGUCGAUUCUUUCACGGAAAAACCGCCUUGGAAAAAAGACCAAACUUUGUACAAUGAAGGAGAACUUUCAUUUACUAUUGUGCCUCCAGAUCGCAGAAGCUUCAUUUUGCUUAUAAUUUCAUCUACUAUAGUUUCAAAGUCUUUCAGAGACAUCAGUUUGAUUUCUUCUUAAGCUCUGCAUCAAUAUUUUUUGUACCGAGACAUUUGGUAAAAUCAAUGGUUUUCAUCAAACGGAUACAACCCACAUAACAUGUUUUAAAGCCAUUAAUUAUAUUAUCAGACUUUAUCUCUUCUACAACAGUUUUUAAAUAUUCCUGCAAUGUUUAAUUUGGUCACAACCUCUCCCAUGUUUUGCGCCUGAAAUUUCGCCACGGCCUUUCUGUACACUUUUUUAAUAGGGCCAAAAACGGAAACAUCUGUAAUGCGGGUAGUGUUAGGAUAAAGUGCAAUCAGCUCUAUGCCUAGUUCCUUACACGUUAAGCUAAGCUGUAAUGUAAUGUGGCUCUUGUGGCC